rnacentral:lncRNA from 1 species
AUUUUUCUCACUUUUAGAGAAAAUAAGAGAAGUAUCCCUGAAGGAUGAAAUAUCCUCGAAUAUGAAAAGGUCUGCUCUCUGAAGACCAACUGUCUCAGUCUGCUUUUUGCUGCUGUAACAGAAUACCACAGACUUGGUUACAUUAGUUAUACACUCUGGAGGUGACUUGACCUGUCAUUGUGAACAAUUAUUGCUCUUGGACGACCCAGGACAUAGGCCAGCCAGUACGUACCCCAGUGUGUUGGAGAAUCGCGCUCGGCUUCUUCCUCUGUGCUGAGUCAUGAAAGUUGCCGGAGCAGGUGCAGUUACACAACCUCCAGACAUCUAGGCUUGCUGUCAAGGCUUCUGAUCAACAUGAGAUGACCGCCGUGUGGUAAACUGAUGAACCCUGACCCUGAUCAACAUGAGAUGACCGCCGUGUGGUAAACUGAUGAACCCCGACCCUGAUGAACGUGAGAUGACCGCCGUGUGGUAAACUGAUGAACCCCGACCCUGAUGAACGUGAGAUGACCGCCGUGUGGUAAACUGAUGAACCCCGACCCUGAUGAACGUGAGAUGACCGCCGUGUGGUAAACUGAUGAACCCCGACCCUGAUGAACGUGAGAUGACCGCCGUGUGGUAAACUGAUGAACCCCGACCCUGAUCAACGUGAGAUGACCGCCGUGUGGUAAACUGAUGAACCCCGACCCUGAUGAACAUGAGAUGACCGCCGUGUGGUAAACUGAUGAACCCCGACCCUGAUCAACAUGAGAUGACCGCCGUGUGGUAAACUGAUGAACCCCGACCCUGAUCAACAUGAGAUGACUGCCGUGUGGUAAACUGAUGAACCCUGACCCAUUAGGCUUUGGCUACAGAAUGUGGAAAUAAGUUGUGUUACUACAUGUGUGUAAUCCUAGGGUGCAGGACACCGGCCGGGAGGUUCCAUAGAGUGAUGGGUUCUGCAGGUAACUCAUCCUCUAGUCCUCUGUAAGCUCCUAGAAGGAAGAAAUUAUGUCCUUUAGACUAAUAAAAUUCCUCCAAACCAAAUACAGCACCUACUGUGAAGACACAAAGAUACUUUUAGAAUAGUAAAAACUUUAUCCAUUGAGAAAUUCCUUAAUGAAACAGUAUCCAAGAAGUCAUUUGCCAGCAGAUUUCUUAGAGGUGCGAUAAAGAAGAGGACAUUGCCAGUCGUCACAGCAGCUGCAAUAGCUCCUCUCUAUUGUUAAACAGUGGGAUAUCUUGUGCAGGUUUUCAGUUGACAAUCAAUUUUAAAGAUUAGUUUCGGUCCCCAUCAAUCAAUUAUUUAUUAACCCAUCAAUAAAAAUUUAAAUGCUCUGUGAGGUACAAUAGCUAUUAAAAGAGACAGAGGCACUUUCUGUGUCCAGAGGGGCUUUUAGUCUGCUCUGGAAAGCAAGAUGCGUGCAGAUGAGUGACGCAGUGCAUCGUGUGGAUGCAAAGGGAGGGACUCACAUGGGAACCAGAGGAGCUACGAAGGGAGGCAGUGGGGACUGGUGGGUCGAGACCUGGAAAUAACACAUGAAUAGGCAACAAAGGUUUCCUUUCCUCUUCCAUGCACUUCAGUCCUUGAAAAACGUCUUACCACGGAAUUCCACAGCGUACCAAGCGAUUCCACAGCUUGAUGGCACACUCUCCUUUCUCAGCAUUCUUGAAAAUGGCGUGUGAGCCAAGCCAUCUUACUGAGAAAUUACCUUAAACCAUUUGAUGAACCAAAAAUAUUUUGUAAUACCCAUCUCCGACAUUAGGUAGGCAAAUCACACAGAAACACCGAGGUCUUCUGAGUCAUAUUUAUCUGAAAAAUCACAGCUUGGGUGCAUGUGAAGCCAGAGGAGCACUCCUGGGGCCUGCGGUGCCAUCACUCAGCUCCCCUGGGCUUCACAUGGCCAUGGAGCACCCAGCAAGUGUAGGCUCUGAGCCUUCAGGGAGGGGCGGCAUCAGCCAGCACCAUCGUCUCCUGGGUCUUGUGCCUCUUCCUUGGUUGCGGUGUUGUCAGGGCCAGAAUUGGGCAAUUCCGGGUGACAUCCAGGUGUGGCUGCUGACACGGAGCACAGGACACCCUGCUCCUGUGGUUUGCAGCCCCGGCCUUCUCUUCGAGGACGCCUCUGCUCUUCUGCCUCACACUCGGAUUGGACCUUCUUCAGCACAGCCAGUGGCCGAGGCUUCCUCCCUGGGGCUCAGUGGAGCAGGACAGAUGCUGCAUCCAAACUCUUCCAUUGGGUUCCAGUCUGUUCCAGUCAUGCCCUUGAGCCUCUAAAGCUCCUAGGUGAGAGACGUAGCAGCUGACAGCACUUCCCACUUGAUUUGGGUGGACUCCAGCCUCCCCAGCAACAAUAAGAGAUCAAAAGCAUCGUUGAGGAAGCAGCUUGCUGAAACGCUGAGUGCCCGCCACUCUCAGGUCAGGUGGGACCGGCAGGCCAGCAUGAGUUCCUGAACACUUGGUUCUCAAUACUGGCCACAGCCACACUGUAAGGGGAAACAAGAGGGCACUGUAUGCAAACAUCUCUUGAACUCUGGAGUCUGCUCACCUUCCUGCCUCAAGCCCCUCUCCCACGUGGUCCAGUCACCAUUCUCCACAGAGACUACCCUAAAACCCAGCGACUCUCGUGUGCCUGCAGAAUGGCACAGCCCGUUCUCAUAGCAGCACUCCUGUUUAAUCAGAGGGAUGUUAACGACCAAGUCAUAUUUGCUCGAUUUGUGUUCAACAUAUUUCAUUUGUACCGAUAAAACUUAAAAAUAUCCCCACACAUGCAUUGCCUAUUAAAGAGUAUCUUCCAGGUACACCUCCCUUACACAUCAGUUAACUUGAUAAUUUCUUCCCAUUCUUGUGCAAUAAAUUUCCUUCCUGAUCAGCUCUGUCCAGCAGCAACAAUAAUCCACGUAGAGACAUGCAAACUAAAAGUCCGUUAGUGGAGGCACGAAGCUGAUGAGGCUUGGAAAAAAAUGACCGAUUUGAUUAAAAUUAGGACCCAUGGGAGUGGAGCUCUGCCUAUUUUAGAGGCAAAGUAAAUGCCUGGGAGUCCAAUCACCGACAUUCUGUUUGAGGUUUCUAAUCACAAGGAAGAUGGAGAAAAUGCAGAACAAGUGGUCAAGAACAGGGAGAUAAUAAAUAGAAUAUUUAUGGGCUGAGGAAAACAAUUACCAGGGGAAAGCCCAAGAAGCAAAGAUGAACAGAGAACGUGCUGACUGCGCUCGUUUGGAAAGGCCUCAUGGCCAAAGGAGGAGAGGCAUUAUGAGGAGCAGUGACCGAGUGGGCAGGACCCCCGGGGAUCAGGAAAGGUGCA